GCAAUAUAGAAUGCAGUGUGAUGACUCUAAAGUUACAUGUAGUGAAAACAUUACAGUUGAAGGUGCAGUAUCAUGUUCCUUAGAUGCAACCGUCCACUACAGCUGGGACUUUGCACAGCAGGUUCAUAUUCCACACCAUAGCCAACAGGUUGGACCCCUGUAUUUCAAAACUGCCAGGAGAUGUGAGGUAUUUGGAGUUUGCUGUGAAGGAUCUGGUAA